rnacentral:rRNA from 1 species
CGCGCAGGCGGUUUGUUAAGUGAGAAGUGAAAGCCCUCGGCUUAACCGGGGGACGGCUUCUCAUACUGGCAGACUAGAGGAUGGGAGAGGAAAGCGGAAUUCCCGGUGUAGCGGUGAAAUGCGUAGAGAUCGGGAGGAACACCAGUGGCGAAGGCGGCUUUCUGGACCAUUACUGACGCUGAGGCGCGAAAGCGUGGGGAGCAAACA